rnacentral:rRNA from 1 species
CCUACGGGUGGCAGCAGUGAGGAAUAUUGGUCAAUGGGCGCGAGCCUGAACCAGCCAAGUCGCGUGAAUGAUGACGGUCCUCUGGUUUGUAAGCUUCUUGUAUAUGGGAAUAAAGUGUGGAAUGUCUCCUUUUUUGAAUGUACCUUAUGAAUAAGCAUCGGCUAACUGCGUGCCAGCAGCCGCGGUCAUACGGAGGAUGCGAGCGUUAUCCGGGUUUAUUGGGUUUAAAGGGAGCGUAGGUGGUUAAUUAAGUCAGCGGUGAAAGUUUGUGGCUCAACCAUAAAUUUGCCGUUAAAACUGGUAGACUUGAGUAUAGUAGAGGUAGGCGGAAUGCGUGGUGUAGCGGUGAAAUGCAUAGAUAUCACGAAGAAC